rnacentral:rRNA from 1 species
GAUGAACGCUGGCGGCGUGCCUAAUACAUGCAAGUCGAGCGAACAGACGAGGAGCUUGCUCCUCUGACGUUAGCGGCGGACGGGUGAGUAACACGUGGAUAACCUACCUAUAAGACUGGGAUAACUUCGGGAAACCGGAGCUAAUACCGGAUAAUAUAUUGAACCGCAUGGUUCAAUAGUGAAAGACGGUUUUGCUGUCACUUCUAGAUGGAUCCGCGCCGCAUUAGCUAGUUGGUAAGGUAACGGCUUACCAAGGCAACGAUGCGUAGCCGACCUGAGAGGGUGAUCGGCCACACUGGAACUGAGACACGGUCCAGACUCCUACGGGAGGCAGCAGUAGGGAAUCUGCCGCAAUGGGCGAAAGCCUGACGGAGCAACGCCGCGUGAGUGAUGAAGGUCUUCGGAUCGUAAAACUCUGUUAUUAGGGAAGAACAAAUGUGUAAGUAACUAUGCACGUCUUGACGGUACCUAAUCAGAAAGCCACGGCUAACUACGUG